UGGGGAAGUAUGUGUGCUCCUCGUCCGGAUACAUUUGUAACAACUCUAUAAAACAACUAAAUAGUCAUUUUAAUCAUAGAAGAUAUAUGAAUAAACGCUUUUGCAAGUACACGAGUGAAAAACUUUUCGGUAGUGAGGUAACUGAUUUACAUUGCCUAAAAACAAAAACAAAAACAAAAACAAAUUCAGUGCAUAGGGCCGCAUGUUAACGCACGGUUCUUGAGAAACAAA
rnacentral:lncRNA from 1 species